UUUUUCCACCGGAGCUUGCUCCACCGGAAAAAGAAGAGUGGCGAACGGGUGAGUAACACGUGGGUAACCUGCCCAUCAGAAGGGGAUAACACUUGGAAACAGGUGCUAAUACCGUAUAACAAUCGAAACCGCAUGGUUUUGAUUUGAAAGGCGCUUUCGGGUGUCGCUGAUGGAUGGACCCGCGGUGCAUUAGCUAGUUGGUGAGGUAACGGCUCACCAAGGCCACGAUGCAUAGCCGACCUGAGAGGGUGAUCGGCCACAUUGGGACUGAGACACGGCCCAAACUCCUACGGGAGGCAGCAGUAGGGAAUCUUCGGCAAUGGACGAAAGUCUGACCGAGCAACGCCGCGUGAGUGAAGAAGGUUUUCGGAUCGUAAAACUCUGUUGUUAGAGAAGAACAAGGAUGAGAGUAACUGUUCAUCCCUUGACGGUAUCUAACCAGAAAGCCACGGCUAACUACGUGCCAGCAGCCGCGGUAAUACGUAGGUGGCAAGCGUUGUCCGGAUUUAUUGGGCGUAAAGCGAGCGCAGGCGGUUUCUUAAGUCUGAUGUGAAAGCCCCCGGCUCAACCGGGGAGGGUCAUUGGAAACUGGGAGACUUGAGUGCAGAAGAGGAGAGUGGAAUUCCAUGUGUAGCGGUGAAAUGCGUAGAUAUAUGGAGGAACACCAGUGGCGAAGGCGGCUCUCUGGUCUGUAACUGACGCUGAGGCUCGAAAGCGUGGGGAGCAAACAGGAUUAGAUACCCUGGUAGUCCACGCCGUAAACGAUGAGUGCUAAGUGUUGGAGGGUUUCCGCCCUUCAGUGCUGCAGCUAACGCAUUAAGCACUCCGCCUGGGGAGUACGACCGCAAGGUUGAAACUCAAAGGAAUUGACGGGGGCCCGCACAAGCGGUGGAGCAUGUGGUUUAAUUCGAAGCAACGCGAAGAACCUUACCAGGUCUUGACAUCCUUUGACCACUCUAGAAGAUAGAGCUUCCCCUUCGGGGG
rnacentral:rRNA from 1 species